GCAGAGACCCGGGGCCCUGUGCGGGCGGCUCUUGUGCUUGUGACAGGGCUUUUGGGGAGAGACUGAAGGGAGCCCUGCGUCCCAGAUGUGUGGACUGGCGUGGAUUGAGUGGAAGACGUUCCUAGCCUGAAUAAGGGUCUCACUAAAUUGCCCAGGCUAAUCUGUAAAGGAGGCUACUCCUGUAUCAGCUGUGAUUACACGUGUGCAGAACCACGCCCAGCCUCCUAGCACCUGCCUGCCUUAUUGUGAAUACAUCUUUCCCACCUGAGAAAGGAACAGAUUCGGGAAAAUAAAAUUUUUAUUACUUUUAA